AGGUUGUCAAAAUCUUGGCAGAUUGCAGCUGGUCACUGAUGGGCUGCAUUUGACUUGGUAGAUAACAACUUGUGCAGGCCUGCCUUGAAUCAAGGUUAAUCCCUGGCCAGUGAAGUGUCUCUGUCUACAAGGGUGACUUUCAUACCUGGUAUGGUCUUUUGUGUCAGACUUGGGAAUGUUGGUGCCCGAUUGUGCUGAUUCACAUAAACACUGGGCAUAGCCAAGAACUAUAAAUUACUAAUUUGGCAGUAAUGGAAGUAUUUGGAAGUCCUAGUUGUCCUAUUGGCAGCUUUCCUAUUAAUGUAUAUUACUUAGGGUUUAUUGCUGAGUACUGUUGUUUCCAGAUUUUAUUUUGCCUUAAUCAUUUGUGUGAUGCUAUUUUGAGAGAAAUCGAUGAUUUCAUGAGUUAUGAACACUAAUGUAGCUAACAGACUUAGGGCCCUCUGAUGCCGCUGAGGUAUUGUUUUUCCACAGGUCAUCUGCGCUGAUAAUUUAAAGGGUUAUUUCACUUAAUGUAGCAUUAUGUUCCCCUUAAAAAUGCCUUCCCUCAUAACACACUACUUCAUUUACUCAGAGUAAAGGAAAUUUACUUACAAGACCCUACGUCUCUAUGACAGUCCCUUUAAUGAGUAGCUUCCCUCUGCCCAUUACUUUUAGAGGGGAUUAUUCCUCUUUAGUUAGUGGCUUCCUGUUUACGUUUGUGAUUGUGGCAUUCAUGAAUUGGCCUUUAAUUUGUCAGUUCCUGCUCCCUGUGAGAGUUGUUGGUGGCAGGGAUUUUAGUCUUAGUUUCUUGCAGCCAGGGUAAUUUCUCAUUAAUUUUAUCUUUUAAAAUAGUAAUUGCAAAAUGAAGACGGACGCUCCUGAAUUUCUGUGGGGAAUAUAGUAUUAUAUUAAGUGUGAUAUGCAACCACUGCCUUAAUUCUGUUACCAGCUGAUUGUGGAAAAGCAGCUCCUGAGCUUGGGUAAGCUGUGGUGAGGAAGCAGCUGCAAACAACUCAUUCCAGGGCAGGCUUCCUCAACCUCGGCCCUCCAGAUGUUUUGAGACUAUAACUCCUCUAUCAUCCCUGACCACUGGUCCUAGCAGCUAGAGAUGAUGGGAAUCGUAGUCCAGCAACACCUGGGGACCCAAGUUUGAGAAACAUUGAUAAAGCCUUAUGAUCAGUAUGAGGAGAAGUUAAUUGAAUUGAAUUGCUGUAGAUUGCUGCAAUCUGCUGCCUGUUUUGGUGCAAAUUUCUUUUCAAUUUUUUUAGCACCCUCUCUGCCAAAGCUAAUACAGAAUCCCACUUCUCUUGCUUUCACAAGUUGUGCUCAUUGCAGGGUUUUCCCCCUCUAAGUCAAAAGCUUAGCCUUUUUUUGCUAUUGAAAAUGGGUACAAUUAAAGCUGUUGGACUAGUUCAUGAGUAAUGGCAAGCCAUGGUUUGACUGACCUUGAGCUUGUGUGUUCCCCUCUUCCCCUUGUGUGUUUCGAUUCUCUCUCUGAUCUCCAAACCACGGUUUGCUGUUAUAUUCCAACUCACCAAACUAUGGUAGCCCUCCAAAGCAGAAUUGGAAGCUGUGGUUUGGAGGAUGAGUGCAAACUGUAGUUUGCUGAUUGAGAUGGGAUUGCAAGCUGUGGUUUGUCCAAACCUAGGAGUCAGAAAGGGAAUUGGGGCAGAGAUAGAGAAGAUGUGUGAAUUUAAGACCCAACAGCCAAAUAAGGCCAUGGUCAGGCUGAAAACAAACCAUGUUUUGCCUGCAUUGGAGUUUUGAAAGUGAUGUGAUGGAGGUGAGUACAUGUGGUUCUUUUGCCUCGGUCUUGUCUGUAGUUGCACAGGAGAUUGAGCUUUUUAAAACACUACAAAAAAACCUAGCCCAACCUGAUGUGGUGGUGGGCAGAAGGUAGAUCUUGAUGAUUUGCAGUUCAUCAGCAAGGGUUUCUGAAUCCCAAUUUUUUAACAGCAACAUAUUUCCCCCCUAAAUUAGGAUGUUGGAAUCCCUGGCCUACUGCAACUCAGUUGUAGAUUUGUGCUUUUUUGUACAUCCGGUUAACUCAGGAGGGCAAUAGACUCUGCUUGUUGCACUUCCCCUUGGCCGGUGGGUCUCAGGAUCACAAUGAGAAAACAAAGUACCCGGUAGAUUUCACAAGCCUGACAUUCUGCGAUUGUCUGUGAUUGUGAGUUGAGCAGCACACCCUAUCAACGUGCACCUUAAACAUUCUGGAAAAAAGCCUUCUAAUAUUAGCCUGACCUUUGAAUUACACAGGUGAGAGAAUUAUAUAGAGAGCUUUUAUUUUCCCCCUUCAGCGCUUCCCACUCUCAGCUUGGCCUUUUGGUCUUACAUUUAAGACUUUAUUUGUACCUUUUAUGAUCGUUAACUUCUUAUUCUCUAAUUAUAGGAUUUCAUUCCAAGCUUCCCGCAAGCUUUCUUUUACAGCCCCUAAAGGGGCUCCGUUUAUACAGACCCUAAAUGGUAGGGGGUUUAAUGCCUGUUUUCAUUCUGAAGCACAAUUUAGCACUUUGGUUCACCAUGUCUGUCUGAGAAAUUACCUGUGUCACUUCGUUAUAAGUGUAAUAUUUUUCCUGCCCCAGUACCAUGGUUCCUGUGGUUUUUAUUGCUUUUAAGUUGAUGGCCUAUUGUUCUUUCCUCCACUUUUUUUUUAAUGCCCUUUAAAAGUCCAAAUGCACCCCUGCCCCCAAAAGAAAACGUUUGAAUUGCUUCCAAAGUAGGAUGAGACCACUUUAAUUAAAUCUUCAGAAAUAAACAUAUUUCCUAAGGGCUGUAAACUAUUUCCCCCCCUGUUUGGGCUUGUGGGCCCACGAUGUGUGAGGAAUUUGAUUCAUGCCCAUUUUGCAUACAAAUAUUAUUGGUAUGUUUGAGAAUAUUAAUUAAGAGCAUCUUAAUGAGAUUAUCCUUACCCUGUUCUGGAAUGUUCUCUUGGUGGAUUAGCCUGUCAAAUAAAUUAUGUGGGUCAGUGUGGAAGGUUAUAAGCAUAUUCUGACAUGUAUUUUUCCUGUUAUUUUUAGGAUUUUUAUUGCUUAAUUGUAUGCAUUUUUUUGUGAUGAUUGUAGUUUUUUUAUUGUUUCGAUAUGGUCUGUGGACUAAUUCCUGGAGGUUUAGUCUGUCAGAGAAAUUCUGUGGGUCAGUUUGUCAGGGGAAGGAAGUGGGGGAUGAGUUGCUUUGAGAGAACUGCUUUCCUCGCGGGUCAGUCACACCAGGGAAAUUUCCUCUGGGAUUUCUGAUGGUAGUAGGUAUAACAGCAAUUUAAAAGCAGUAAAAAGGCACGAAACAAGGUCUUGAAAACAAGAGGGGAAGAGUUGUUUAUCAUGCAGUGCUAGACAGCUAAUUUAUUUAGAGCUUCUGAGGGAGACAAGAUAGGCUUGUUUUAUUACCACUUUAAUGAAAAAGACUUGGAGCCAGUGUUACGGUUGCCACGGGGAUGCCACUAAAAAUGGCGUCCCCCUGGUGAGCAAACUCUGUCCAGCGGUGACAUUGGUCAAGUCCUCCCCACACACUCCUCUUCAGUUUUGAUACCCCACAGUCGAGACAGCACACCGGAUUAUUUGCAACUAUUACCACAGAGUUGGUUUGGGCAGCAUCCAUGGAGCAACGAUAAUACAUACUCCAGCCCUUGGAGUGUUUAUAAGACUGGAAGAAGAUCCUGUUAUGUUUUAUUCUGUUGUUGGCGUUUACUGUGUUUUAGCUGACUUUCAGUUUUUUCUGCGAGUCAGUUUGAGAGCUUUUCUGGGGACCAAAAACAUGCCCUGUAAACAAACAAACAAGCAAGCAAAAAUGUAAAACCUUAGCCCUCAGCUCUUCAAAUAUGAAAAACUGAGGUGGGAAAAAAGUUUUGCUUUGCUUUACGCUCUCAUCUCAAAAAUGGUCAAGGGCCUGCACGCUUCCCUAUGUACACCACACACCAGUAACUGUUGGGGGCCAUUUUCUACUUGACCUUGUUUUCUUUUCUUGAUUUUUUUAAAGUGUGGGAGUGACCACAUAGUGACUUCCCCCCUUCCAGUUUUCAUGCCAUAAAUACUUUUGGUGGAUUUGGUUUAUCUUUAUGUGAACUGUUUGCUCCUUUCCUGGGCAGCCAAUUCUGAGGGUGAUGGAACUACCAUUAGAGGCCCCUGCGCAGCAAGUAAAGCCCAGGAAGGUCAGUAAGGACGGAGGUGUUAUCUGUAUCUAUCUAUCUAUCGUCUGUCUAUCUAUCUGUCAAUAACCAGUAGAGAAGAAGGAAGGAGGAGGUCUUCCAGAUACUUUAACUGGAUAAUUUCCUCUGACUUCUUGCUCAGAACCAAGGCCCUGUGUUCCUAUGAAGCACUGAGCUGUCAGCAAGUGCUGGUUUCUUCUGUGAGCUGCAAGUACUUAGCACUUGGCAAAGGUGCUGAAACAAAUGGGGGCAGGGAAGAGGGUGGGGGGAAGGAGAGGCGAACACUUUUCUCCCAAGAUGAUGCGCUCCAUUACUGACUUGUCACUUUGAGUGGGAUUGUAGCCUUCUGAGGCUAAUGCGAUUAACCGUGAAGGCUGGUGUGUAACAAUCUGAUCUUUGCCUAUUUCAUGGCUGCUACUGUGACAUGGAAAGUUAUGAGGGAACUAUACUUGGGAACAGAUCAAAUGGCAUAGGACGAAAGCACAGGACUAUACUGAGACUUUUGUUUAUGCAGUUACAUCAUGUACAUCUAGCGCCCUAACAGGCAUCCUUUUCAUUGUUCGUUCAUGAUUAUUUCUUUCUUUCUUUUUUUAUAAGAUAUUUAUUAAGAUUUUCAAAAUAUUACAACAUAG